rnacentral:rRNA from 1 species
UGGGGAAUUUUGGACAAUGGGGGAAACCCUGAUCCAGCCAUCCCGCGUGUGCGAUGAAGGCCUUCGGGUUGUAAAGCACUUUUGGCAGGAAAGAAACGUCGCGGGUUAAUACCCCGCGAAACUGACGGUACCUGCAGAAUAAGCACCGGCUAACUACGUGCCAGCAGCCGCGGUAAUACGUAGGGUGCAAGCGUUAAUCGGAAUUACUGGGCGUAAAGCGUGCGCAGGCGGUUCGGAAAGAAAGAUGUGAAAUCCCAGAGCUUAACUUUGGAACUGCAUUUUUUAACUACCGGGCUAGAGUGUGUCAGAGGGAGGUGGAAUUCCGCGUGUAGCAGUGAAAUGCGUAGAUAUGCGGAGGAACACCGAUGGCGAAGGCAGCCUCCUGGGAUAACACUGACGCUCAUGCACGAAAGCUGGGGAGCAAACAGGAUUAGAUACCCUGGUAGUCCACGCCCUAAACGAUGUCAACUAGCUGUUGGGGCCUUCGGGCCUUGGUAGCGCAGCUAACGCGUGAAGUUGACCGCCUGGGGAGUACGGUCGCAAGAUUAAAACUCAAAUGAAUUGAC